rnacentral:rRNA from 1 species
UACGUAGGGGGCAAGCGUUGUCCGGAUUUACUGGGCGUAAAGAGCGUGUAGGCGGCCAUGCAGGUCCGUUGUGAAAACUGGAGGCUUAACCUCCAGACGUCGACGGAAACCGCGUGGCUAGAGUCCGGAAGAGGAGAGUGGAAUCCUGGUGUAGCGGUGAAAUGCGCAGAUAUCAGGAAGAACACCAAUGGCGAAGGCAGCUCUCUGGGACGGUACUGACGCUGAGACGCGAAAGCGUGGGGAGCGAACAGG